GAUGAACGCUGGCGGCGUGCCUAACACAUGCAAGUCGAACGGAGUCCAGCCUUUAAGACCUUCGGGUCAAAGAGGGGAAGACUGAGUGGCGGACGGGUGAGUAACACGUGGGCAACCUGGCUCAUAGAGGGGGAUAACAGAGAGAAAUUUCUGCUAAUACCGCAUAAGCACACACUGCCGCAUGGCAGAGGGUGAAAAGAGAAUCGCUAUGAGAUGGACCCGCGUCUGAUUAGCCAGUUGGCAGGGUAAGAGCCUACCAAAGCGACGAUCAGUAGCCGAUCUGAGAGGAUGAACGGCCACAUUGGGACUGAGACACGGCCCAAACUCCUACGGGAGGCAGCAGUGGGGGAUAUUGCACAAUGGGGGGAACCCUGAUGCAGCGACGCCGCGUGAGUGAAGAAGUAGUUCGGUAUGUAAAGCUCUAUCAGCAGGGAAGAUAAUGACAGUACCUGAAUAAGAAGCCCCGGCUAACUACGUG
rnacentral:rRNA from 1 species